UACGAAGGGGGCUAGCGUUGCUCGGAAUCACUGGGCGUAAAGCGCACGUAGGCGGAUUUGUAAGUCAGGGGUGAAAUCCCGGGGCUCAACCUCGGAACUGCCUUUGAUACUGCAAGUCUUGAGUCCGAUAGAGGUGAGUGGAAUUCCUAGUGUAGAGGUGAAAUUCGUAGAUAUUAGGAAGAACACCAGUGGCGAAGGCGGCUCACUGGAUCGGUACUGACGCUGAGGUGCGAAAGCGUGGGGAGCAAACAGG
rnacentral:rRNA from 1 species